UAGUCCACGCCGUAAACGAUGAGGAUUAGCUGCUGGGCUUUUAUAGUUUGGUAGCGCAGCUAACGCAUUAAAUCUUCCGCCUGGGGAGUACGGUCGCAAGAUUAAAACUCAAAUGAAUUGACGGGGGGCCCGCACAAGCGGUGGAGCAUGUGGUUUAAUUCGAUGCAACGCGAAGAACCUUACCUACACUUGACAUCCUGCGAACUUACUAGAGAUAGUUUGGUGCCUUCGGGAGCGCAGUGACAGGUGCUGCAUGGCUGUCGUCAGCUCGUGUUGUGAAAUGUUGGGUUAAGUCCCGUAACGAGCGCAACCCUUAUCCUUAUUUGCCAGCGAUUCGGUCGGGGACUAUAAGGAGACUGCCGGUGAUAAACCGGGAGGAAGGUGGGGACGACGUCAAGUCAUCAUGGGCCCUUACGUGUAGGGGCUACACACGUGCUACAAUGGCCGGUACAAAGAGCGGCGAGCCAGCGAU
rnacentral:rRNA from 1 species